rnacentral:rRNA from 1 species
GAGCACUGUUUCGGCUAGGGGGCCAUCCCGGCUUACCAACCCGAUGCAAACUGCGAAUACCGGAGAAUGUUAUCACGGGAGACACACGGCGGGUGCUAACGUCCGUCGUGAAGAGGGAAACAACCCAGACCGCCAGCUAAGGUCCCAAAGUCAUGGUUAAGUGGGAAACGAUGUGGGAAGGCCCAGACAGCCAGGAUGUUGGCUUAGAAGCAGCCAUCAUUUAAAGAAAGCGUAAUAGCUCACUGGUCGAGUCGGCCUGCGCGGAAGAUGUAACGGGGCUAAACCAUGCACCGAAGCUGCGGCAGCGACACUGUGUGUUGUUGGGUAGGGGAGCGUUCUGUAAGCCUGUGAAGGUGUGCUGUGAGGCAUGCUGGAGGUAUCAGAAGUGCGAAUGCUGACAUAAGUAACGAUAAAGCGGGUGAAAAGCCCGCUCGCCGGAAGACCAAGGGUUCCUGUCCAACGUUAAUCGGGGCAGGGUGAGUCGACCCCUAAGGCGAGGCCGAAAGGCGUAGUCGAUGGGAAACGGGUUAAUAUUCCCGUACUUGGUGUUACUGCGAAGGGGGGACGGAGAAGGCUAUGUUGGCCGGGCGACGGUUGUCCCGGUUUAAGCGUGUAGGUGUGUGUUCCAGGUAAAUCCGGUUCACUUUAACACUGAGGCGUGAUGACGAGGCACUACGGUGCUGAAGCAACAAAUGCCCUGCUUCCAGGAAAAGCCUCUAAGCAUCAGGUAACAUCAAAUCGUACCCCAAACCGACACAGGUGGUCAGGUAGAGAAUACCAAGGCGCUUGAGAGAACUCGGGUGAAGGAACUAGGCAAAAUGGUGCCGUAACUUCGGGAGAAGGCACGCUGACACGUAGGUGAAGUGAUUUACUCACGGAGCUGAAGUCAGUCGAAGAUACCAGCUGGCUGCAACUGUUUAUUAAAAACACAGCACUGUGCAAACACGAAAGUGGACGUAUACGGUGUGACGCCUGCCCGGUGCCGGAAGGUUAAUUGAUGGGGUCAGCGCAAGCGAAGCUCCUGAUCGAAGCCCCGGUAAACGGCGGCCGUAACUAUAACGGUCCUAAGGUAGCGAAAUUCCUUGUCGGGUAAGUUCCGACCUGCACGAAUGGCGUAAUGAUGGCCAGGCUGUCUCCACCCGAGACUCAGUGAAAUUGAACUCGCUGUGAAGAUGCAGUGUACCCGCGGCAAGACGGAAAGACCCCGUGAACCUUUACUAUAGCUUGACACUGAACAUUGAGCCUUGAUGUGUAGGAUAGGUGGGAGGCUUUGAAGCGUGGACGCCAGUCUGCGUGGAGCCGACCUUGAAAUACCACCCUUUAAUGUUUGAUGUUCUAACGUGGACCCGUGAUCCGGGUUGCGGACAGUGUCUGGUGGGUAGUUUGACUGGGGCGGUCUCCUCCUAAAGAGUAACGGAGGAGCACGAAGGUUGGCUAAUCCUGGUCGGACAUCAGGAGGUUAGUGCAAUGGCAUAAGCCAGCUUGACUGCGAGCGUGACGGCGCGAGCAGGUGCGAAAGCAGGUCAUAGUGAUCCGGUGGUUCUGAAUGGAAGGGCCAUCGCUCAACGGAUAAAAGGUACUCCGGGGAUAACAGGCUGAUACCGCCCAAGAGUUCAUAUCGACGGCGGUGUUUGGCACCUCGAUGUCGGCUCAUCACAUCCUGGGGCUGAAGUAGGUCCCAAGGGUAUGGCUGUUCGCCAUUUAAAGUGGUACGCGAGCUGGGUUUAGAACGUCGUGAGACAGUUCGGUCCCUAUCUGCCGUGGGCGCUGGAGAACUGAGGGGGGCUGCUCCUAGUACGAGAGGACCGGAGUGGACGCAUCACUGGUGUUCGGGUUGUCAUGCCAAUGGCACUGCCCGGUAGCUAAAUGCGGAAGAGAUAAGUGCUGAAAGCAUCUAAGCACGAAACUUGCCCCGAGAUGAGUUCUCCCUGAGACUACGAGUCUCCUGAAGGAACGUUGAAGACGACGACGUUGAUAGGCCGGGUGUGUAAGCGCAGCGAUGCGUUGAGCUAACCGGUACUAAUGAACCGUGAGGCUUAACCUUAC